rnacentral:lncRNA from 1 species
CCAUUCAGUUACGGCCUGAAGUUGUUCAAUGACAGUAGUUUUUUCGAUGUUGGUGGUUGCCACUUUAUCCAUCCAUGCCCGACGAAGAUCGAUAAUUUUUCAAUAUCCACUCUCUAGAGCAUACAUAUCAUGUGCCCACUGAAAGAAAAGGAUGAGUCAAGUCAGAUUAAAAGAAAAAAGAAAGGAAAAAUUUCAUUGACUCACCCCAAGCCUCAUCGAAUAAAAUGAAGAAAAUAUUUUGGACACUGUCCGAUUUUUUCUGCUCUCCCCGUCAG